UACAGAGGUCUCAAACGUUGUUCGAAUUCAUUGGGCGUAAAGGGUGCGUAGGUGGCGCCGUAAGUCGGGUGUGAAAUUUCGGAGCUUAACUCCGAAACUGCAUUCGAUACUGCGGUGCUUGAGGACUGGAGAGGAGACUGGAAUUCAUGGUGUAGCAGUGAAAUGCGUAGAGAUCAUGAGGAAGACCAGUGGCGAAGGCGGGUCUCUGGACAGUUCCUGACACUGAGGCACGAAGGCCAGGGGAGCAAACGGG
rnacentral:rRNA from 1 species